rnacentral:rRNA from 1 species
AACGAACGCUGGCGGCAUGCCUAACACAUGCAAGUCGAACGGACCCUUCGGGGUUAGUGGCGCACGGGUGCGUAACGCGUGGGAAUCUGCCCUUUGCUUCGGAAUAACUCAGGGAAACUUGUGCUAAUACCGGAUGAUGUCUUCGGACCAAAGAUUUAUCGGCAAGGGAUGAGCCCGCGUAGGAUUAGGUAGUUGGUGGGGUAAAGGCCUACCAAGCCGACGAUCCUUAGCUGGUCUGAGAGGAUGAUCAGCCACACUGGGACUGAGACACGGCCCAGACUCUUGCGGGAGGCGGCAGUGGGGAAUAUUGGACAGUGGGCGCAAGCCUGAUCCAGCAAGGCCGCGUGAGUGAUGAAGGCCGUCGGGUAGUAAAGCUCUUUUACCAGGGAUGAUAAUGACAGUACCUGGAGAAUAAGCACCGGCUAACUCCGUG